ensembl:snRNA LOC120100387 U2 spliceosomal RNA
AUCGCUUCUCGGCCUUUUGGCUAAGAUCAAGUGUAGCAUUUGGCAACCAUACACUGUUCAGUAGGAUAUCACUAAGAAUUUAAAAGUGUGUUGGGGUGAAUUGUGCACCUGCUUAGAACAUUGGUGGAAAUUUGAUUUUUUUUAAAACCAGAUGAUAUUUU